rnacentral:rRNA from 1 species
UGGGGAAUAUUGGACAAUGGGCGAAAGCCUGAUCCAGCCAUGCCGCGUGUGUGAAGAAGGUCUUCGGAUUGUAAAGCACUUUAAGUUGGGAGGAAGGGCAUUAACCUAAUACGUUAGUGUUUUGACGUUACCGACAGAAUAAGCACCGGCUAACUCUGUGCCAGCAGCCGCGGUAAUACAGAGGGUGCAAGCGUUAAUCGGAAUUACUGGGCGUAAAGCGCGCGUAGGUGGUUUGUUAAGUUGGAUGUGAAAUCCCCGGGCUCAACCUGGGAACUGCAUUCAAAACUGACUGACUAGAGUAUGGUAGAGAGUGGUGGAAUUUCCUGUGUAGCGGUGAAAUGCGUAGAUAUAGGAAGGAACACCAGUGGCGAAGGCGACCACCUGGACUAAUACUGACACUGAGGUGCGAAAGCGUGGGGAGCAAACA